UCCAAUAUUUACAAAAAGAGGAAAUUCUAUUACAAGAGAAAGCAUCAUAUUAGUCAAAAUUUGAUACAUAAUUUCAGUAAGUUAAGUCUGAGACUGAAAAGAUGGUGGUCUGAAAAACGAUGAACGUAGAAUAUAUAGCAACAUGCUUUUAAAAUGACUUCUUUUAUCAAAGCUUAACCUUGGUCUUCCUACUAGUCAUGACAUCUAGCCUUUGGCUGAAUGCUGAUGGAUGUUAACUUACGUACAAUUUCAACAUAUUUACUAAAUGGUUCUAACUAAAACAAUCAAAUAUUUUAAUUGUAAGUCUUCUAAGAUUUGUCAUACAACUGAAUACACUAAGUAAUGUCCAAAGAAACAGUGGAUCCUUACAUGUAGUUGCAAAAAUACAGUACCAGGUACAGCAAUUAAGUCUAGCACAUUUUGACUUUUAAGGUAAAAUCAGAAUUAUGGUUUUGUUCUUGAACAUAAAUGAAAGCUCUGAAUACAGAUUAUCUUCAUACUAUUUAUCUAGUGGAUUCUGGCCAAGUGAGUUUAUUUUACUAGUAUAUGAAUUCUUAGUACUUAGCAUAUACAAAUUAAUUGAAUGAGAAGAAAAUUUAUAAUCUUCAGCAUUAUGUAAACUUCUGAAAACA
rnacentral:lncRNA from 1 species